GAGAGUUUGAUCCUGGUUCAGAUUGAACGCUGGCGGCAUGCCUUACACAUGCAAGUCGAACGGCAGCAUGAUCUAGCUUGCUAGAUUGAUGGCGAGUGGCGAACGGGUGAGUAAUACAUCGGAACGUGCCCUGUAGUGGGGGAUAACUAGUCGAAAGAUUAGCUAAUACCGCAUACGACCUGAGGGUGAAAGUGGGGGACCGCAAGGCCUCAUGCUAUAGGAGCGGCCGAUGUCUGAUUAGCUAGUUGGUGAGGUAAAGGCUCACCAAGGCGACGAUCAGUAGCUGGUCUGAGAGGACGAUCAGCCACACUGGGACUGAGACACGGCCCAGACUCCUACGGGAGGCAGCAGUGGGGAAUUUUGGACAAUGGGCGAAAGCCUGAUCCAGCAAUGCCGCGUGUGUGAAGAAGGCCUUCGGGUUGUAAAGCACUUUUGUCCGGAAAGAAAUGGCUCUGGUUAAUACCUGGGGUCGAUGACGGUACCGGAAGAAUAAGGACCGGCUAACUACGUGCCAGCAGCCGCGGUAAUACGUAGGGGUCCAAGCGUUAAUCGGAAUUACUGGGCGUAA
rnacentral:rRNA from 1 species